AGCCUUGAGGUGUUUUACAUAUUAGAUUGCAAAUCUUAAGUGGCAGAUGAAAGUCUGCCGGGGCUU
rnacentral:tRNA from 1 species